GAUGAAGAACGUAGCGAAAUGCGAUAAGUAAUGUGAAUUGCAGAAUUCAGUGAAUCAUCGAAUCUUUGAACGCACAUUGCGCCCCCUGGUAUUCCGGGGGGCAUGCCUGUCCGAGCGUCAUUUCAACCCUUAAGCCCUGUUGCUUAGCGUUGGGAGCCUACAGUACUGUAGCUCCCCAAAGUUAGUGGCGGAGUCGGUUUCACACUCUAGACGUAGUAAUUUUUUCUCGUCUGUAGUUGAGCCGGUCCCCUGCCGUAAAACACCCAAUUUAUCAAGGUUGACCUCGGAUCAGGUAGGAAUACCCGCUGAACUUAAGCAUAUCAAUAAGCGGAGGA
rnacentral:misc_RNA from 1 species